rnacentral:lncRNA from 13 species
GCCAAAUGUGCUUUUAACAGCCACAGCAUUUAUAUUGUUUUCUAUAUUGAUCUAUGUAUGUGUGAAUGGCAUUAAUCUAUUUUUAACUUUGAACUACCCCUGUCUAUUUAGAAUACAGCUACCAUAGACAAAUUAAUAUUAUCUGUUAAUAUUUGACUGGUUUCUGUUUUGACUCUUAGACUGAUGCCUCCAAGUCUCACUUUUUCAUCGAUGUAUUAUAUCAGCACAGACUAAUGGCUAUUUGAUGGGUUAUAAUUCCAUCCUGUCACUAUUUAUAUUAAUGCUCAAAUUGCCCUAGUUUUGGCAGGGAGAGCUCCUUCAAGCUAGCCCCUGUAUCCUUCCAAUAUUUCCCCAUCAUUUCUGACCACUUCCUUAUUUUCAGGCACAGUACAGUGAUCCUGGAUAACCUUUAACUUUCUGUUUCCAAGGUCUGCAAUUUGCAGUUGCUACAAGGAGGUCUGGUUCCUUUAAGCAGAUAAUGAAGAAUUACACUGGAAAAACAGGAUCUGGUGUUGCCUACCCUCAUUGUUAUAGAGAAACAUCAUGAGAUUACACAGCCUGAUUUAUAAAAGAAUUUGGGGCAAGCUUCAGAUUUUGAAUGAUCAACCCUGAGGUUUGUUUAUUUCAUUUUCUACUCACUAAAAGAAGAGUUUUUAGCCUGAACUAAAGACCUGCACUGUAAGUACUCGUGGUUCUGGAGUGCUAUAUGAUCUAACUAAAUUGUGACUCUAUUUUAUCACUGGUGACCUGAGUGAAGAUUCAAACUUUCUUCAUGUUUUUAUUUUUAAUAUCAUUGUAAAAAUGCUGAGCUGUAGAAAAUAUUCAAUACAAAUGAUUUAUUCUCAAGAAGCUCUGUAAAGUUCUUAAGUGACAUUAUAAAAGCAAUACAUAGUUAAACAUCAAGCAUCCUCCUUAA